rnacentral:rRNA from 1 species
UACGUAGGGUGCGAGCGUUGUCCGGAAUUAUUGGGCGUAAAGAGCUUGUAGGCGGUUUGUCGCGUCUGCUGUGAAAAUCCGGGGCUCAACCCCGGACUUGCAGUGGGUACGGGCAGACUAGAGUGUGGUAGGGGAGACUGGAAUUCCUGGUGUAGCGGUGGAAUGCGCAGAUAUCAGGAGGAACACCGAUGGGCGAAGGCAGGUCUCUGGGCCACUACUGACGCUGAGAAGCGAAAGCAUGGGGAGCGAACAGG